AUUGAACGCUGGCGGCAUGCCUUACACAUGCAAGUCGAACGGUAACAGGUCUUCGGAUGCUGACGAGUGGCGAACGGGUGAGUAAUACAUCGGAACGUGCCCGAGAGUGGGGGAUAACGAAGCGAAAGCUUUGCUAAUACCGCAUACGGUCUCAGGAUGAAAGCAGGGGACCGCAAGGCCUUGCGCUCACGGAGCGGCCGAUGGCAGAUUAGGUAGUUGGUGGGAUAAAAGCUUACCAAGCCGACGAUCUGUAGCUGGUCUGAGAGGACGACCAGCCACACUGGGACUGAGACACGGCCCAGACUCCUACGGGAGGCAGCAGUGGGGAAUUUUGGACAAUGGGCGCAAGCCUGAUCCAGCCAUGCCGCGUGCAGGAUGAAGGCCUUCGGGUUGUAAACUGCUUUUGUACGGAACGAAAAGACUCUGGUUAAUACCUGGGGUCCAUGACGGUACCGUAGGAAUAAGCACCGGCUAACUACGUGCCAGCCGCCGCGGUAAAAC
rnacentral:rRNA from 1 species